CACCUCCCCCGAUCUGACACAACAUCCUGCUGAGAUGUUGUUCGACCUGCAGUGUCACACAUCGGGCGAGGUG
rfam:Claviceps purpurea 20.1, WGS project CAGA01000000 data, contig: scaffold00003